rnacentral:rRNA from 1 species
GACGAACGCUGGCGGCGUGCUUAACACAUGCAAGUCGAACGAAGUGGCGAACGGGUGAGUAACGCGUAAUCAACCUGCCCUUCAGAGGGGGACAACAGUUGGAAACGACUGCUAAUACCGCAUACUGAAGGAGGGGAUUGCGUCUGAUUAGCUAGUUGGAGGGGUAGAGGCCCACCAAGGCGAUGAUCAGUAGCCGGGCUGGUAUGGUGAACGGCCACAUUGGGACUGCGACAAGGCCCAGACUCCUACGGGAGGCAACAGGUGGGAAUCUUCCGCAAUGGGGGAAAGUCUGACGGAGCAACUCCGCGUGAGUGAUGACGGCCUUCGGGUUGGAAAGCUCUGUUAAUCGGGACGCGGUACCGGAAUAGAAAGCCACGGCUAACUACGUGCCAGCAGCCGCGGUAAUUC